rnacentral:lncRNA from 1 species
UCAUGUGGCCUUUAGUAAGAAGCGUCCACUCUCAUUGUGUUUUAUUUACCAGCUUGCUUUUAAAGAGCCAGGACCAGUCCACUAGCUGUGCAGAGUGCUGACCUCUUGGAUGAGAGCCCUGACCUCAUAGGAUAUCUGAGCUUGUCAUAAUUCAGGUGGGUUCUGUAGGGAAGCAGGGGCUCGUGGGGAGUGGGAGGAAGCUGGGGAGAAGAUGAGUUGAGAGCAGUCCAGUGUGAGGGAAAGUGGGGAUCCUGGGCCAACUUACCAUUAAGAGGGUCCAGUCCUGUGACUGCUGUGAAGUAACCAGGAUUCCACAUAGAGAUGGGGCUCAAAGUCAGCCCAGGAGCAGCACUGUGGUCCCAGAACUAAUAUUUGGCGACUCCAAGGCCAGGGAUAAAAAUGAAGAGAUGGAGAGACAAGAUUUCCUGGCCUCUAAUUGGCAGCACCCGUUGACUCUGCUCGUGACCAGACUCAUGAACGCUUCAUCCAAGGUUUCAUGUCAUCCGUGUGAGGAACCUCUCUGAUUUGAGAAAAUCUUUCUUAAAAUGGGCUUCUAGUUGUAAAGCCAUUGUCUUUUUAGGAAAUCAUCAAAUACCUUAAAGCUAGACACGCAAUCAGCUGCAUAAAUGACACACUCACUAAAUCAAUCCUUUAUCAGGUGGUCCUUCAAGGAUUUCUUGGUUUUGGGUUUUGAAAUGUGUAAGGUUUGCUGCUAGCAACUCCACAUUUUUUUAUUCACUCACAAAGACACAUGGUCAUAAAUAAAAUGCAUGGAACCAGCGAGACAAUAGCACAGCAGUAAUGUCAUUUUAUAUGCAGCAUGGCCCUGUUGUGAACGGAAUGAUUGUGAACGGAAUGAUGGCCAAGGAGCUUUAUGCUUCUGCACCGCCAGCUCACACGAUGGUCCGUGUAUUGCCCCGUGGAAAACCGGGGGUGGAAAGCUGUCUCCACGUUCUGCUGCCGAAGCAGCAAGCUGAUUCACACAUCUUGAAGGCACAGUGGAACAUGGAAGGGUGCAUAUGAGACUUGAUUUUGAGGAUGAAACUUCCUGUCUGAAUCGCUAAGUCUCCCAGCAGGGGUGUUAAUGUCCCUGUGAGAUGCAGGCUUCCCACAGACACACCCAGGUUGCGAGUGGGUUCAACAUGGUCACAGGAGCUUCAAAUGGUGAUCCUGAUGCUCAUGGCCAUGCAUUGAGAACAACUGUGUAAGAAGAUAUGGAUAAUGCUUGAAAACUACUAGUAUUAGCACCAUUUUGCAUAUACUCCAAGGAAGAUCUCAAUAAAUGCUUAAUGGAAAUAAGUAAAGGUAUGAAUGCUGGACCUAAUACAGGAGGAAGACCCAGGUGAUUUGUGUACAAUUUGGACACAAGCUCUUGCCAACCACCUGAGAGAUUCCAACAAUGAGAUGAGAUUCCUUACCUUGAACCAGAUAAUUUGGAAUGAAUGUCUAGGCAGAACUUCUGCUUCAGAAUGACCACAAUUAACUACCAGACAACCAACUUUGGGGACAUAUCAGUAGGUUGAUCCUGGUUUGGGAAGCUUCCAGCUUGGAAUGAUUACAAUAGAAAGAAGCUGUUCUCCUGAUUCUUCCUGAUGCUGACACACCUUCUCUUUUUAAAAACAAUAGCAUGGCACCUUUGAUUACUGUUAUAAAGUCCAGAGGUCUUCAGACUGGGGCACACCCACCCAGGGGGGUAUAUAAAGACUUUGUAAGGGGCACUUGGGCAUCGAAGUGUUGGGUUAUGUGUCCUCAACUUUCCUAUCGUCGAGUUCCUAAAACAGACUUGCAUAAGAACCUCUGGGCUGGGAGUUAUUUACCCUCUCCUACAUCUCUUCCUUUCUAUCAUCCUUUUGCUACUCUACAAAGGAAAGGCACCACCCUCCCCCAUCCCAAAUCUUACUAAAGUAUAUUGCCUGGGUGUAGAAACCUUUAUGAUAGCAAAGGGACAAUUUCAUUUCAUAAUACAUAUUUAUUAAAUACCUAAUAUAUACCAGG